rnacentral:rRNA from 1 species
CCUACGGAGGUAGAAGUGAGGAAGAGUGGGCAAAGGACGAGAGUCCGAACCAGGCAAGUAGCGUGAAGGAAGAACGCCCUAGGGGUUGUAAACUUCUUUUAUAAAGGAAUAAAACGAGGCACGUGUGCCUUUUUGCAUGUACUUUAUGAAUAAGGAUCGGCUAACCCCGUGCCAGCAGCCGCGGUAAUACGGAGGAUCCGAGCGUUAUCCGGAUUUAUUGGGUUUAAAGGGAGCGUAGAUGGGUUGUUAAGUCAGUUGUGAAAGUUUGCGGCUCAACCGUAAAAUUGCAGUUGAUACUGGCAGUCUUGAGUACAGUUGAGGUAGGCGGAAUUCGUGGUGUAGCGGUGAAAUGCUUAGAUAUCACGAAGAACCCCGAUUGCGAAGGCAGCUUACUAAACUGUGACUGACAUUGAUGCUCGAAAGUGUGGGUAUCAAACAGGAUUAGAUACCCGAGUAGUC